rnacentral:lncRNA from 1 species
AUGUGGCAUGAAAUCAUGCUGCAGAGUUCACCACUCCCUUCACUAACUGUUCUGUAUUGAAUUACUCUUGUUCAGGUACGUGCCUUAUGUCCAGUUUGGAAACGUUCAGUUUCUCCUCCCAGAGAUCUGGAGAUCUCCAGGAGUAUUCUUUCCACAGCUGAUAUUGAGCGGGGGAUGAGGACUGGUGUCAUUUCCUGGCAGCCACAGCAGAAGAUGAGCAGAAGGCCACUCAGGAAUGCAGCACAUGGUACAGUCACAUAAGGAAACCUCACUGUUCUGGGGAACUGUUUGCUGGGUUUAUCUUGCACCGGGUUCUUCAAAGAAGUCUCUUUCUGUUACGAACGUGACUGUCUCACCAUUUCCAUUGCCGUACCAACCACGUGCAGAAAGAUGAGUAAUAUUUAAUGCAAAAUUGCAUUUGUUUUGCCGAUUGCUUUGCUUUUGUCAAGGCACAUCGGGGAUUUCGUACAGAAUGAUUGCUGGAGGUCACAACUAGCAGGUUGGAGCCUGUUGAAUUCAGUGAGCCAGUAGAGGUUACAGGAAU